rnacentral:lncRNA from 1 species
UUUUUUUUUAUUUUCUUAGGAUGUUGAUCGGUUUCGGGUUGUAAAGCGGACUAAACAUGCAGCAGCAGCAGCAGGGCGAGCCGAAUCAUCUACUAGGGUAAGUAAAUCCUUGAAUAUCAAUGUUUCUCAGGUUUUUAGGGGCUGAUGAAUUUAUGAUGUUGUUGGCACAACUAUUUUUGUUCUAGUUGCUCAAUUACCAUCUUGUAGUUGACAUCACUGGUCAUCUUGAUGUACAUAUAGUUUUCACAGAAGUUGACAUCUUUGUAGUUGACAUCAUUUGUCACCAUUUUUGUGCAGGCAGCAGUUGGUGGAGGAGCUGCCUCAUCUUCCGUAGCAGAUGCUGAGGUAUGAGGUCUUUUUGCGUGUGUUUAUGAGCUAUUGAACUAUUUCUUUGCAAACCUUUUUUUAGUUGCUGUUACCUUCUUUCCAACAUCAUGCUUUAUCGUUGCACAUCCCCUAGAACUUUCUGUAGUUGUCAGGUCUAGGUUUUUUAUUAGGUUCUUGUUGUUUGCACACUAGUAGUCUUCAGUUGCCAUGAUGAGCUUUCUUUGUUGCACAAAAACACCAAAUCAGUUGGCAUGAUCCAUUUUAUGUUUAUAUAGUUUUUGCAAUACUGUUCCACAUGAUCAUUGCUAGUUUUUUCACAGUUCAGUUUUCUGUCCUGUGUUUAGAUUUUUUUUAUUUUCUCAUCAUCAGGCCAACGGUGAAGGAGUUGAGGUGGCCGCCCAGGAAGAUGUGGAGCGACCAUCACAAGCUGGCAGGUUAAGGGCAUCACCAAGGCAGUUUGCGAAGUUCAACAGCUCGAUAUCCCCGCCACAGAAGUCAGAGCUAGUUUCAAGGUUGUUUGGGGGCCUCUUGAACUUAUCAGAUACACUUCCAGGGGACUUCAGUAAAUUCCUGGUGCAGUCCUACCAGCCAGAGACAUCUGAAAUGGUGUUCCCAGGCAGAGGAAGUAUCCGUGUCGAUGCUGACAGUGUUCAAAGGGUAUUUGAUCUUCCUAACAGGGGUCUAAAAGUUAGUUAUAAAGUUGACAAGGAUACAACUAGGAGAUUCAGAGAGACCUUCAACAUAACUGGAACUUCUCGUCCCCAGAUCAGUACAUGGACCAAGAUGAUUAAGGAUAUGGGGGGAAGAACGGAUGACACAUUCUUUAUGACUUGGCUUGCGGUUGCAUUCAGCACUUUCUUAGCACCAACCACGGCCCUGAGGCUGAGCCCAAAGAGCUACGGACUCGUGCUAGAUCAUGAAAACCUCAAGAACAUGAACAUCUUCCUUUUUUGUAGUAGAACACAUCAAUGAAGCUUUCCGGAACAUGGACCAGGCGAAGCAAACUGUUUGCUGCUGCUUGUAUCACUUGUUGGUGAGUGAAAACCAGUACUUCAAUGUGUUUUUCUUCUUUUAGUGCAGUCAUAGUUUCUGAAAAAUACCCCUAUAAUAACUGAAAUUUGGUUUUUUCUUUUUUGGUUCUGCGGCAGAUCCUGUACCUUGACGCGCUCGUUCAUGACAUCCCAGUAAGCAACUGUGCUAUAUGAUCGAAUGCAUGGGACAGUAGCCUAAUUGGCAAGGUGAUCAAGAAGGACAUGAUCUCUCCUGGUGUGUUCGGCAAGUUACAAGUGAGUUCCAUUUUUUUUCAACAGUGGCUAUUUUUAUGUUCUAUUCAUUUCUGCCCAGUUUUAAUUCCUUGGUAGGUGCAUAUACGAUUUUGAGACCAGCUUUUCGACACAUCCUGGUAGUUGCGUAAAAACUGUAAUCAGUUGGCACAAUAAUGCCUGUAGUUGCACAGCUUGUAGCCCUAGUUUGGCAUGUGGUCACAUGUUUCAAGUUGCAUAGUUUUACUUAUCUUGUUGCAUAGACGUGUGACAAUAGUUGGCGGAAAUUUCAAUUGCUGACUAAACUAGUUUUUGGUUUAGUUGCACAAAAUUCUACCCAGUUGGUUUCAUCCAUUUUUUAGUUGGCUGUUCACAUGUUCUGCACUUUGCAUUAGUUGUCUUCCCGUUUGUACUACGUUGGUUGUCUAUUAGUCUGCUUAGUUGUUGGUUGGCUAUCCUUAUGUUCUGCAGUUGUUUUGCAUAUGUUGUUCAGUUGCACAAGUUGGUAGAAUUUUAGGUAGACACUUUUCGGCAGUUGUGCAAAAGUUGUAAUUAGUUGGCACAAGAAUGCAUGUAGCUAUACAUCUUGUAGCUCUACUUUUCGGCAUGUGAUCAGAUGUUCAUUUUUGUAUGAGACAUCAUAUGUUUCAAGUUGGACAAUUUUACUUAUCUUGUUGCACAAAUGUGUGACAACAGUUGGCAGAACAUUUUCUUCAGGUGACCUUUUUUGGGUGCACUUUUUUUGGUUUUGUGCAGUUGCAUUCAUGUAGAAUCCUGUCUGCCCAGCAUUUUGUUGUAGUUGCACAAGUUUUAAAAUUCUAUUUUUCUUUCAACACAAUAUCUGCUUUGAUAACCUUGUCAUUUUCUUUUUCUCCUUUUUCACAUCAGCUUAAAGAGGAGUAGGGGCACGGAGCAGACACCGCUGUUUGGUGGUCUUUUGCAAGCUCAAGCAUUCGUUGCAUCCAAAUUACCACUAACGUACAAUCCCCAGGCAAGUCUUUUGCAUAAAUCAGUUUCAAUCAUGUACCAACAUUUCUUUAAAAAAACUGUUUAUAAUUGAAUGAGUACUCAAUUGUUUGAUGCAGAAAAAGGCAAAGAUUGCCGAAGUGGUCAAUGACUUGUGCAAGGCAGUAACUGAACAGGUUGGCACCUUCAUUGAAGCAGUUGCCAAGAUCGACGAUAAGGAACUGGAUGUUGAUCCAUAUGUACAACAGACAUCAACGGGAACCGCUCCGUCACGCCGUGCUCCAAAAAGGAAGAGACAGGUUUCACCUAUACCAGAAGAAGAAGAGUUCGAUGAUGAGGAGUCAGACGAAGAUGAUGAAAUGGAAGUAGCACAAGAUGUUGAAGACGACGGGGAGACAGAUGAUGAUGAUUCAGAGGAGGAGGACAAAGAGGAGGAUGACAAAGAAGAAGAGGAUGAUGAUGAGGAGGAGGAGGAGGAGGAAGAGGAGGAGGAGGACAAAGGAAAAGAGGACAAGGGAGAGGAGGAGGGCAAGGAAGAAGAUAUUGGUGCAGAGGAGGAGGAGGAACAUGAAAAUGUUGGUAAAGAAGGACAUGGAAACAAAGCUGCAGCAAUCGAUGGCAGUGAGGGGGAAGAAGAUGACGAGGAAGAUGACGAGGAUGCCAAUCCUGAUGAUCAACAGGGACACAAUGGAGGCAGUGACAGUUCAAAUGAUGAUGAUGACAAUGCCCCUGGUUCUGGUGGUACAGGGGGCAACACAACCAGAUCUGCACACCCUGCCAGCAGCAGCAACUCAGCAGGAGCUCACUAUAGAUGUUGAUUGACAAAACUUGCUGGAAAGACAAGAAUUUGCCAAAGUCAAAGAGAAAUGAUGAAGCGGAGUCUCAGGGCAACAUUGACAUGUUCAAGAUGUGCAACAUGAAGCCAACUUUGCCAACCACUUUCCCUGUGCUAGACGUCCAUGAGCGAGACUUGUGUGACAAGAUAGAUUUUGCUAUUGACCAAAAUAUGUUCUUCUUGAGUGAGGCUGAAAAGAAUCCAGUUGACAUGGAGGAAGCAGGGAAGGGUCUUGAUUGGGUUCAUUUAAAGGAGACAUACAUGGAAUAUUUGAAGCAGCUUCCUGAUAUCAGCUCCAGCAAGAGCAAGGCAGCAUCUCUGGCAAACCCUCAUGUGGUCCAGAAGAGCAAAGGAGUUACAAUGAAGAAGAAUCUGAAGUUGCCUCAAACCAAGCAACAGAUGCCGAGGGCAAAUGCAGAAAUAAAUGUGGACAAGGAAGCUGUGGCGCAAACUAUUGUGCCAACUGUAGUGAUCACAGAGCCAACCAACACUAAAGACGUGUCAGCAAUACCUGUUGAGCCUACAACCAUUACAUGAGUUCAACAGAUCAAGGGGAAGAUUCCUCUGUCAACAGCCCCACCUAAACCAGCUAAGCAGCAAAAGAUUGUCCAGUUUGCCAAGGGCACAAAGGAGGAAUAGGGCAGGAAAGGUGUGGGGUCCAGACAUGAGACAGAACAACGUGCCACAGCCAUCGUUGCAGGACUGCCAAGUUCUGCUAGUUUGGUGCCAACCUAGACUGCAAAGGUGCCAACUACAAUACCAGUGUACCAACUGAAGUGGUCACAGUCAAAACCAGCAGAGUUGUUCAGGAGGACUCAACUGCAACUCGAUCCCCAAGGUGACAAUUCAUAUUGAUUCUUCAAUGCCAAACACGGAAGGAGGUUGUCAAUCUGUCAAAGUGCCAUCUCCAAGAGCUACCACAGAGCAUCCAAGCAGGUCUGCAUCACCAAGAGCUGAUUUUCAUAACAGAUUAACACAAGAGGAGGUGUUCAACAUUGUAAGCAGGUGCAAGCCUCCUAGGCCGCCAACUACAACAUUACUGCGAACCAGAUCAGCGAGCGAUGCACAUGUGAAUGUUCCGCAAGAAGAUUCCCCUGGCCUUCAACCCAUAUGCAUAACAAAUUCUUGCAGCUAUCAUGGUGACGGGUACUGCGAUGCACCAACUUUUGACCUGGGCCUAGAUGAUGAUGUUGGGCAUGCUGCAGCACUUGCUCCAGCAGCACAAACAGGGGAAGCAAAUGUGGUUGUCAUAGACGAGGAUGAGUUGGACCUAGCAACAGCGAAGGAAGGAUGCGUAGCUGCUGAUGCUGGCAAGGGAUUAGCUCACCAGCCAGAUGUUGGAUCACUAGACAGCUGCCACACCCCGAUAUGCGAAGAACCAGCAGUUGGUACAAGCAGUUCUUCAGGACCACCUAUUGCACGAAGACAGAGGAGGGUUAUAAGGCCUCCAUUCAUUGUUUACAACAAAAAGAAGACCUUCAACUCCAAUGAGGCAGUCAACAAGCUUUAUGCUGCCAUUGUGUAUUGGGUCAGGCAUAUCACAUGAGCAGAUGAUGAGAAUACCAGGCAAGCCAACUCCCCACAACCCAUUUACAUAUCUUUUUUCAGUUGCACAAUACAACCUAUUUAGUUGCACAGGAAGCAAAGCAUGUUGCACAGAAUAGUGCUUUAAAUUGCGCACUCUUUGUUUUUUAAAAUUGCAAAGCAGAGUGGUGUAGUUGGGCAGGGCAGGGGUUUUGAGAUCUGCUUGUGAUUUCCCCUAGUUCUUGUUCAAGUUCUAUGUCGAGUUCAAGUUCUAUGUUGUUCUUCCCAGUUGGCUGCAACCAUAUAUUAGUUGGUUGUCCAUAUGCUCUGCUGUUGCACUAGCUGUCUUACUGUUUUGUACUAGUCGAUUGUAUACACGCUGUUCAGGCGCACAAGUUUUGCCUACUGAGUUGUCUGCAUCACUAAACUAGGUGGCUGUCCAUGUGUUCUACACUGGACACUAGUUGCCCUGCUUAGUUUGCUUGAUGUUUUGUGCUAGGUUGGCUUUCUACGUGUCGUUCAGUUUGCACAAGUUGCCUGAUUAGUUGGCUGCAUCCAUGUACUAGUUGGUUGUCCACAUGUUUUGCUUUUUUGUACUAGUUGUCAUUCUUUAGGUUUGUUCCUGUUUUGUAGUAGGUUGGUUGGCUAUAUGCUGUUGAGUUGCAGAAAGUUGCCAUGCUUCCUGUUUUGCAUUUCUUUUUGCCCUAGUCCUUUUGUUCAUCCCAGUUGCACAAAUUAUCAUACUCAACUGGUUGGCUUUAGUAAACUUUUUUCGACCUAGUUAUUUCUUGCCUUAGUGAAACUAGUUGACUUAUAAGCUGUGCAGUUGCACAAGGCUGACUGCCCAGUUGGCUGCAUCACUGUAGUAGUUGGUUGUCCUCAUGUUUUACAGUUUUUUUGCCUGGGUGGUACUAAGCACUAGGUGUCAUGUCUAGUUUGGCUUCCUGUUUGUACUAGGUUGGUUUGUCUAUUAGUCUGCUUAGUUGGGGGUUGGCUGUCUUUUUUUAGUCUACUAGAUGAUGAGAACACCAGACAAGCCAACUCCCCACAGCCUAUAUACAUAUCUUUUUUCAGUUGCACAGUACCACCCACUUAGUUGCACAGAAAGCAAAGCAUGUUGCACAGAACAGUGCUUUAAAUUGCAGACUCUUGUUUUUUUAAUUGCACAUUUUUUCCUUUCUUUAUGUGAUCCUUCAAGCUAACUUUGUCUUUCUUAUGCAGCCCUGAGAUAGUCAGGUAUGGUAAUUCUUCAUUUCUUUGAAGGAGUUAGUUGAUUCAAUGAAGCCAAAGCAGUGGCUUUCAAAAAAAAUUAUUGAGACUGGAAUCAUACACAUCAUGGCUAACUUGCCAGAAGGGCCAAAGAAAGUUGUCGUGCCACUGAGGUUUUCUAUAAGUUUUUCAAAAACUUUAUACACUCUUCCUUUUUUUGUAACAUUUUUGUUGACCAAUCAGGGAGUCUUUUUCAUACCCUAGUGCUUGAGGCAUGUUUAUAAUUUUUCUGCAGAUCAAUUUACAGCAGGGUAUCCACAAUACAAAUGAGAUAAACAAGAAGUUUGAACACAAGAAUCGUCUCGACAAGAAAGAUUUGGUGAGUGCUCUACCCACAUGAUCCAUCUCAUAUUUGGCACUCACAGCACGUUCAUUUGCACAUGACACAUCUAUUAGUUGGCAAAUACCUUCUGCCAACCUGUUUCAACUUUCACAUCUCAUUUCUGUAUCUGAAUCAUUCACACGUGCAGGUCAUGCUGCCAGUGCUUGAGUGCGAUAAUGUAAAUGACUGCAAAGGAGGCAGGCAUUAUUGGGUCUUCAACAUCAACCUAAGGGACGGACGUUUCGAAGUCCUUGAUUCAAACAGAAAGCUAGAAGAAAUCGACUUGAUGGACACCACCUCUACGAUUGCAGGGGCAGUACGCCAGCUAUGGAGGAAGCAUUACCCAAAACAGAGCAUCGAGCACUUCCAGAUUGUUGACAUCGAUGUACCGAAGCAGAUUAGCAAGUAGGACAAGAAGCAUUACAUUCUUCUUCAUUUUUUUCAAUCAAUCUGUAGUCUUUUAAAAUUUCCUACUUGUACAAUCUUUAGUUUUUCAAGACACAAAACUAGUUUGCAAUCUGUUUUUCAUUAUUAUGACUUUCUCAGUUGAACAUCAGUAGUUGCACAGUGCCACAUAAUUAGUUGCACAGUGCCACAUAAGUAGUUGCACAUUAACACAUAACUAGUUGCAUAGUGCCACAGAGUAUAUUGUCUUAUUGGUUUUAAAAGCCUCCAACAUUUUUUUCUUUUUCCCCACUGCAGCAAUGAGUGUGGUCUGUUCGCACUGCUUAACACCACUGAGUGGAACGGGAGCCUACUGCCCAACUAUGAGCCCAAGGAAGUACUCAACAUCAUGAAGAAGCUGGCAUAUGAUUGGGUCACCAGCCCGCACAACUCUGCCCCAUGGAGGAAGGUGCUGAGAUACGAAAAGGACUAGGUCAGUACACUUUUUUAUUAUUUUGCCAUUUUUUGAUGCCUUGCAGGUUUGCACAAUUUUUAUAAACAUUUUGUAGUUGCAUACUAGUAGUAUUUCUUUUGCAACUCAAUGUCAUCACUUUUGUUCACACACUACGAGAACUAGGCAUACAAUUGUUCAACAACUAAAUAUUAAAUGAUUUGCCAACAAAGGCACAAAUAGCAACCAUUUUUACAUAGUGCAUUAACUAAUUCAAUGAAAACAACUUAGAGAGGAGAAAGCAUAGUUGCUGUAUGUGUCCACUUUUUUGCCCCCUAAAUUGCUCAAAAAGCAUCAUUCUUUUUCUUUUUCCCUUUUUUGAUACAACCGAUACAAGAGAAUCACAGCAGCCUGAGUGGACACACACCAACAGUGUGCUCUGUAGAUUGGCAGUGGCUGCAUUUAUUUUUCUUCUUUGGGUGUAGCUCUAGCGCAGAUUUGUACCGUCGACUCUUCGCCCUACCCUUUGUAGUAGACCUUGGAGGAUCCCUAGGCACAAAACCAUCAUAGGCUUGUGCUGGGGAUGGAGCCUCCAACUGGGCAGGACCAUCACGAGCUUGUGUUUGAUCACCUUGGAGGAUCCCUAACCACGACUGAUGUUCUCUGCAACCACAUAGCUUAUGAUGUGCAACUAAUUGGUUGCUGUGUGCAAAUUAAGUUAAAAAUAAAACCUGUAGUAGCACGGCCCGUCAUGCCACUUGGUUGGUAAUCACCUGUAGCUAGAAUAGGAAAAAGCAGUUAGUUGAUUUAUCUUGAUGCUCAAAAUAACAUAGCGUGCGCAACUGGGUAGCAUGUUCUGUGCAACUGCGCACCAUGAUGUGUGCAACUGUAAUCACACACCUAGUUAGAUGGGGGUGUUGGGAAGGUAAUUACCUGGAUGAUCAGGCCCGUGAGUACUCCCUGUAGGGCCAUUGGGAGGAGCACGCGGGGCACUACUUGUUGGAACAGGCGGGGGAGGAGGUGGUGGACCAUGUUGUGUAUUGCCUGGACGUGGAGGAGGUCCUCGAGUGUUGCCAUCAACUAUAGCCAGAACAGGAAAAACCAGUUAGUUGUUUUAUCUUGAUGCUCAUAGCGUGCGCAACUGGGUAGCAUGUUCUGUGCAACUAGGCACCAUGAUGUGUGCAACUGAAAUCUCACACCUAGUUAGAUGGGGGUGUUGGGCAGGUAAUUACCUGAAUUAUGAGGCCCAUGAGUACUCCCUGUAGGGCCAUUGGGAGGAGCACGUGGGGCACUGCUUGUUGGGCCAGGCGGGGGAGGAGGUGGAGGACCAUGCCGUGUAGGGCCUGGAGGUGGAGGAGGUCCUCGAGGGUUGCCAUCAUCUGAUGGCCCCGUGGAAGCAGUUGGUUUUUCUUUUUCUUGGACUUGUUCAAGUGGCCGAUCUCGGUACGUGCUGCACGCAUAUGCUUGUAUACAAUAGCUUGUGCUGGAUCAGAACCACUCGCCAACUUUGCUAGUUUCCGAAAAUCGUAUAUCAUGUUCCUCUCCCUUAUCUGUUUCUUUGAUUGAGGAGACAUUUCAUCUGGCUGCUCAUAACCAGUCCCUGGCGCACUAGGCGCAGCAGUAGGUGUCCACCGUCUUAGCAGGUACCUUUCCGGUAUGAGAUCAACUCCAAUAUGAGUGAACACCUUGAGGAUGUGGCAACAUAGGAUGUCGUCCUUGUCCAUUUUACAGCACUCACACAAAUAGGAACCAUCCUCCACCCUUGCCUGCACCAAGUAGUUUCGAGGACCAUAUUUGGCAACAAAUUCCUGGUUCGGUUUGAGCUCAAAUAUAUCAGCACCAACUUGGAAUGUAUUAUAAUGGCCAAUCAGCUCAAACUCUUCUCUAAACUUGCGGUAAAGGUCCCUAGUGUAGGUCUUGUAAGCUUGCUUCUCUAUUGGGAAGUUGGACCACAACUCAAUCUCAAGGUGUUCUAUCCUAUAAUCAUUGCAGCCUUCCUUGGCAAGGAUGUGGUUCUAAAUUUUUUCAUAUUGCUUGAUGAAGUUCAGCAUCGAGUUGUGUGGGUUCACAUAUCUUUUUAGGACGGCGUUGAACCCCUCACUACGCUGUGUAGACUGCAAGAAGGGGAAGAACAUGUGUUUGAAGUAGCAAGGCACCCAAGUUGACCUGUAUUCGUACAACUUCUCAAAGUGUGUGUGUGUGUGUGUGUGUGUGUGUGUGUGUGUGUGUCAUAGCCUUGUACUUCAUCAUUAGCCCAGCCCAAUUCUGUUCAAACUCGUCUGGAAUGAAGCUGAAGUCAACACAGUAGUUGAAAUCAUCAGAGAGCCCUGGAUUCCGGCACAACAACCAACCAACUUUUUCCUGGGCCUUCUUCAUGAUGUGCCAUCGACAACAUCGAUGCACGGUGGUUGGAAAGAUGCUCUGUAUUGACUGCCUCAUUGCACCAUCUUGAUUGGUUAUGAAGUUGCUUGGAGGUUUGCCACCCAUAGCUUCUAGGAAUGUCUGGAAUACCCAAUCAAAGCUUGAUGCCAACUCCUGCCUCACAAACGUGCAACCGAGCAUGAAAGAUUGGCCAUGUCUGUUUAUUCCAAUGAAGGGUGCGAAUGACAUAUUAUACAUGUUGGUCAUGUAGGUAGUGUCAAAUGAUACGCAGUCGUGGUACGCCUCAGCAUAAGGUUUUCGAGCUAAGCCAUCCACCCAAAAUAUGUUAACAACUAUGUCCUCUUCAUCAUAUUUUACCUUAUAGAAGAAGUCUGGAUCGGUUUUCUGUAUAUCCUUGAAGUGCGCAAUUGUCUCAAUCAUGUCACCCUCCUUUGUGUCAUCUCUACGGAAACUUGUACACACAUUUGUUAUUGUCGUUGGUCCGAACGGCACCAUCAUCUCAGAUCCGUAGAACUCUGCCAUUAUAUGCAUCAUACGUCCUGCAUAAUACAAAAGCAAAAUAGUAUAUCCUUUUUUUAGUUGCACGAAUGCGCACAUCCAGCUGCAUAGUAAUAGAACAUGUAUUGGCAUAGAAGAUAAUUGCAGGAAAUGGACACCUAGCUGCACCUUUUUAAAAACACUUUGCACUUUUUUGCAUACAGGACAUUGUGUAGUUGCACAGUGAAGGCAAUCUAGUUGCACAACAAGCACCAAAAGUGAUAUACAGACAGCAUCGGAAGUUGGACACCAGUUGCACAGUUAAGUCAUUUCAGUUGCACAAUAGUACCAUCACAGUUGCACACUGGACUGCCUAGAGGGAAACUUAAUUCUUUAAGGGAUAUAGAAACAACACACCUGUAGUCAAGUUGCAGUUAUACAAGAUGCGCAAAAACUCCUUUUCAUCAGGUGAGAUGCCUUGGUGGGAUCUCAAGUAUUUGGACAGUGAAGGUUUGUUCACGAGCGGAUGAUUGUGGUCACGAACAAAGUGCGUCACCUCCCAUCGCCCAUCUAUCAGCUUCACCAACAUUUUCGCCUUGCAUUGACACUACUAGGGAAAAGGCUAGCAGCAGCGCGGGUUUUUAGGCUAGUAGCAGCGCGGGUGGCCGCGCUACUAAUAAGGCGCUACAGCUAACUCAUAGUAGUAGCGCGGCCCCAACCCGCGCUACUAUUAACUAGUUGUAGCGAUUUCGCCAUCCCUCGCUACUGCUAUAUCUUUCAUCAUUUUCCCACUGCCCCAUUCCCUUUCAGUUCUCCUUUCAGAUACUAGAUACUAGGUACUGCUAGUAGAUAUCAAAUUCAUAAACCAUUACUAGGUACGGUAGUACUCCCUUCGUUCCAAAUUACUCGUCGUGGUUUUAGUUCAAACCACGACGAGUAAUUUGGAACGAAGGGAGUACUAGAUAACAAUUUCAUGCAUAGCCAACAUGCAUCCUCAAGCAGUACAAGUUCAUAUCAACGGCCAUCAUCAUAUGUAGUUCUAGAUGAUAUCGACGACGAUCAUCAUAUGUAGUUCUAGAUGAUAUAGCCACACACACAUAUGUAGUUCUAGAUGAUAUAGCCACACACACAUAUGUAGUUCUAGAUGAUAUAGCAACACACACAUAUGUAGUUCUAGAUGAUAUAGCCACACACACAUAUGUAGUUCUAGAUGAUAUCGAAGACAAUCAUCAUCCUCAAGCCUGGGCGGUUGGUGUUCCUGAUAGUAAAUAGGAUGGCCUGUCCAACACGAAGAUUCUUGCCAUCAAGGAAUUUCUUCCACCCAACCGAGUUUAAGUGUGUGCGACCGUCCGUGUCCACGCGGUAAGUACAGGUUGUGACGGAGCCCCUUGCAGUAAGGUGUAGUCCAGCUGAGCCUUCUUCAUCAGGCUCGAUACCAUAACUCACAGAUAUGCUCUUUGCCAAUUUCUGAAUAAGAGAAACAUAUCAAUUAUAAGCAUGUGAUCGAACUCUACACUAAAACAUAUAUAUCAUCGACUAGAUUCCACACAACAUACCAUAUCAUUGGACUGUACACUAAGUAAUUCACACUAUUAAUUUGCAUUUGUAAGUAUAACAUACCAUAUCAUGUCGAUCAACCAUGGUAUUUGUCAAGCGGGUCACGAAUGGCACCCCGACAAAGUCAGCACGUGGCGGAAUGAUGUCCCACAGGUUGGACACCUCCUCCUCACUCAGCCUUGUUCUUUGAGCUACGAUGGCUUCAUGAAGUGGGUCCUCAUCAUCUUCAUCGAGUGGGUCCUCAUUAUCUUCAUCAUCUUCAUCAUCUUCAUCAUCUUCCACCAGGUUGAUAUAAAUGAUAGCUAGCUUGGGUCUUUCUGCUCGGAAGUUGAAGCUGAUCAACUCAACACCAGUAAGAUGCAUGCGAGCGACGAAACGGGCCCAUCCAUCUCCUCCAAUCUGCGACAUAUUGCGUCCUUUCUCGACCUCCAUAGUGUACGGCCCCCCAGGAGCCUCAAAUGUCACAGUGUCUCCUGUCAGCUUGUUGAAUUUCAACCUCACAUUGACGAUCUGUGUAAAAUAAGCAAAAUGACACAAUGCAGUAAUGCCAACACUAAAAAUAAAAUAGUUAUUACAUUUCAUCUAAUUUCUUACCGCCGCAUGACGAAAACUCGGCUGGAAGUAGAUGCCGAACAGCUUGCCAGUUGCAAGGCUGCUGGCACAUCUUGACUUGCACAGUUGACAUAGUGGUGGUGGUGGUGGCGCCAUUCUUCCUAAAGCAAUAUGAGCAAAGGAUUACUAGAUCAAUUAAAUCAAAAUGUUCUAAGUCAACUAAAUCAACUAGCCUACUAAAUCAACUAAAUCAAAAUGUUCUAAGUCAACUAAAUCAACUAGCCUACUAAAUCAACUAAAUCAAAAUGUUCUAAGUCAACUAAAUUAACUAAAUGAAUUAGCCUACUAAAUCAACUAAAUCAAAAUGUUCUAAGUCAACUAAAUCAACUAGCCUACUAAAUCAACUAAAUCAAAAUGUUCUAAGUCAACUAAAUCAACUAGCCUACUAAGUCAACUAAAUUAUAUCAACUAAAUCAAAAUGUUGCAUAUGAGCAGGAGGAGGGAGAAGGAGGGCGACUCAAGGAGGGAGAAGAGAGUAGGAUGGAGGAGGAAGGCAGAGCGAGGAGGGGCCGGCCGGCACGGCCAGUUGAGGGAGGACGGAGGAGGAAGGCGGAGCGAGGAGGGGCCGGCCGGCGCGGCCAGUUGAGGGAGGACGGAGGAGGAAGGCAGAGCGAGGAGGGGCUGGCCAGCGGCGAGUGGAGAGGGAGGACGGAGGAGGAGGCCGGUACCGAGUCCAGCAAGGAGGAGGAGGUGACGGCGCGCGGCACAGACGGAGGAGGGGCGACGGGGGCGCGCGGCGCAGACGGGUCGGAGAGGAUUUUGAGUGGCUGUGUGUGUGAGUGGAUCCGAAGGGAGGAGAUGAGGGAGAUGAAUGGCUUAGCAGUAGCGCUCUUCAGGAAAAGACGCUACUGCUAAGCUAUCUAGCAGCAGCGCCUUUCACAGUAAAGCACUACUGCUAUGUGUCAGCAUGCAAAAAUAGACUUUGUUCAAUAUAUCAAAAACACAUUGAUCAUCAACGAUCUUUUUGUGUACAAUCUGAUUUGACAAUAUGAGUCCUCACCGGUUUAGGAACAGGUGAAGACUCAUAUUGCAGCCACAAAUUCUACACAUAGAGUUCAAUGAAGAUCAAGUGCUUGUCAAAGUGUGAGAAAUAACAUAUUUAAGGUGGUAGAAACUCUCUUCACGGAGCGAGGUGGGACUAAAUUUUUGUAGAAAACUUAGCAGUAGCGCUUAUCCGAAAAAUGCGUUGCUACUAUGCCACGUAGCAGUAGCGCGCAUCACGCUAACGCAUUGCUGCUAUAACUAGCCUCACGGCGGCCUCGUAGGAAUUAUAGCAGCAGCGCGUCUUUCGGGUGACGCGCUACUGCUAUAUUUGUCUCAGCAGCGAGUUUCGUCUGUACGCGCUACUGCUAGUUAGCAGCAGCGAGUUAUUUUGAAGCGCGCUGCUGAUAAGAUUAUGUGUAUAGGCUUUUCCCUAGUAGUGUGAGUCUGCUUUAUUGUCUCGCGUUUUCGUUUCUUCUUCUUCUUACUAGGACCAACCUCCUCUUCAGCAAAGAUUGGAGGUUCAUCUUCCAUUUCCUCAUCACUGUCAACAGUUUUUAGAUCUGGAAUAGGGUCCAGGAGAGGAGGAGCCUCAGCUCCUCCAUCAUCAGCUUUGGGCUUCUUGAACUUGUUGCAGCAAAACUGUUGUUUUACCAAUACAUUAGUGUGGGGUGUCCGCCUAGAGGUGUUCAUCUUGACAGAGAAACCCAUCUGUAGUGCAUAGCUGUUGUAGUGAUCCUUAGCAAUUUGAAGGCUGUCAAACCUCAUGCCAACAUAGGGUUCCAUAGGUUGAGAACCAGCCUCAUCCUCUCCUUCUUCUCCUUGCACAGCUCCGUCAACAGCGCCAACUCCUAGAUCAGUCCUGGUUGGACCAGGAACAUUUGCCACGGUUCCCAUGUCAUCAAGAGUAUGGCUCUCUGACUACAAAGACACCACUACAGGGGCACCACGAGUUGAUGACUGGCCUGCCACAUUGUCAUGGCUCAUAGGGUUACCACCACGACUUGCCUGCGUGUAGUAAAUGAUACGUCUCCAACGUAUCUAUAAUUUUUGAUUGUUCCAUGCUAUUAUAUUACCCCUUUUGGAUGUUUAUGGGCUUUAUUUUACACAUUAUUUUCAUUUUUGGGACUAACCUACUAACCGGAGGCCCAGCCCAUAUUGCUGUUUUUUUUGCCUAUUUCAGUAUUUCGAAGAAAAGGAAUAUCAAACGGAGUCCAAACGGAAUGAAACCUUCGGGAGCGUGAUUUUUGGAACAAACGUGAUCCGGAGAGCUUAGAGUGCAAGUCAAGAAGCUUCUGAGGGCCCCACGAGAUAGGGGGUCGCGCCCCCUAUAGGGUGCGCCCCCUGUCUUGUGGGCCCCUCGGGCGGCCACCGACGCACUUCUUCCUCCUAUAUAUAACUACGUACCCCGAAAACAUCCAGGAGCACCACAAAACACAAUUUCCACCGCUGUAACCUUCUGUAUCCGCGAGAUCCCAUCUUGUAGCCUUCGCCGGCACUCUGCCGGAGGGGGAAUCAACCACGGAGGGCCUCUACAUCAACAUCCUUGCCCCUCCGAUGAGUUGUGAGUAGUUUACCACAGACCUAUGGGUCCAUAGUUAUUAGCUAGAUGGCUUCUUCUCUCUUUUUGGAUCUCAAUACAAUGUUCUCCCCCUCUCUUGUGGAGAUCUAUUCGAUGUAAACUCUUUUUGCGGUGUGUUUGUCGAGAUUCGAUGAAUUGUGGGUUUAUGAUCAAGUUUAUCUAUGAAUAAUAUUUGAAUCUUCUCUGAAUUCUUUUAUGUAUGAUUGAGUUAUCUUUGCAAGUCUCUUCGAAUUAUCAGUUUGGUUUGGCCUACUAGAUUGGUUUUUCUUGCCAUGGGAGAAGUGCUUAGGUUUGGGUUCAAUCUUGCGGUGUCCUUAUCCAGUGACAGAAAGGGUUGCAAGGCACGUAUUGUAUUGUUGCCAUCGAGGAUAACAAGAUGGGGUUUAUAUCAUAUUGCAUGUGUUUAUACCUCUACAUCAUGUCAUCGUGCUUAAUGUGUUACUCUGUUCUUAUGAACUUAAUACUCUAGAUGCAGGCAGGAGUUGGUCGAUGUGUGGAGUAAUAGUAGUAUAUGCAGGCAGGAGUCGGUCUACUUGUUAUGGACGUGAUGCCUAUAUACAUGAUCAUGCCUAGAUAAUCUCAUAACUAUGCGCUUUUCUAUCAAUUGCUCGACAGUAAUUUGUUCACCCAUCGUAAUACUUAUGCUAUCUUGAGAGAAGCCUCUAGUGAAACCUAUGGCCCCCUGGUCUAUCUCUUAUCAUAUUUGCUUUCAAUCUACCUUUAUUCGCAUCUUUACUUUUUGCAUCUAUCUUAUAAAAUACCAAAAAUAUAUUUAUCUUAUCAUACUAUCUUUAUUAGAUCUCACUUUCGCAAGUGGCCGUGAAGGGAUUGACAACCCCUUUAUUGUGUUGGUUGCGAGUUCUCAGUUUGUUUGUGUAGGUGCGUGGGACUUUUGAGGAGCCUCCUACUGGAUUGAUACCUUGGUUCUCAAAACUGAGGGAAAUACUUGCGCUACACUUUGCUGCAUCACCCUCUCCUCUUCGAGGAAAACCAACGCAAGCUCAAGACGUAGUAGUAAACAGAUCACCCAUUUUCUGUCCAAUUUCCUUGUGCUAUGUUGGGUUGCUGAUGAUCCAUAUCAUGAGGAAGCUCAUUGAGAUUAGGAGGCAACUCAUUGAGAUCAAGCAUUUUUUUUUCCUUUUUUGGAUGCUGCCACACACUCCCUGCACAUAUAAAAAAGAGGAAAAUGAUCUCAUCAGUUGUUAACCACAGAAAAGAGUGUUUCAAACAACCUACUUAGUAAAUAGGCAGUUGCACACCAUUUUAUGACAAUCUUAGUUCCAAAAGCAACAUGACUGUAGCAUAAUCUUUAUUAUAACAGUUAUGCAUUUUUUUGUUUGCACAGAGUUGUUAUGUUAGUUGCACAGUUUGCAGUAAAUAGCUGGCAAGAACAUGACUUCUUUUUACUGCAGAGUUUUCUGACUUUUUCCCUCUGUUUGUUGCAAUAAUCUGCAGGUUUUUUUUGGCAAGGAGAUCUUUCAGAUUUUUCUGCACAUAAUUUGAUGUUACAUUUGAGACGGAAAAUCUAGGUGAAAGACGAAAGAAGAAUUGGAUGACAGAUUAUAGUUAUAUGUUUUCAUCGCCGUUUAUGUUUUUACUUCUGGUAUAUUGAACAUAUUUUUACACUAUAGCUUUGCAAUAGGUGUGGGACUGGAAUAUAUGUGUGGGACAAGAUUAUAUGCGUGAAUAUUUUAAUAUGGUUUGUGUCUUCAUUAGCUAUGGACAAAAGUUCUUGUGUUUUUGCUGUCGUACUAUAAAUUUCUGGUUUUCGCUAGAAUAGAUGUCUCAAUUGUCAGGAUGCAUUUUUUCAGUUGACCAGCAUACAUAUUCAGUUGGACAGUCAAUGUGUUUCGUUGGCUAGAAUAGAAGUCUCAGUUGGCCAGGAUGCAUUAUUUCAGUUUUGGCCACCAUGCAUGUUCAUUUGGAUAGUGUAACACCCCAACGGACACAGCGCUUGGAAUAUUACCACAUAACACCUUCGAAAUGAAAACAUGCCCUCAAAAGAAUUUCGGCAGAGUUUCCUCUAUUUCUAAGGACACCCACGACAUGCAAUUCAUAUAGUAUAUAUAUCGCAAAGAACUAGCACCGGUGUAAAGCACAAGGCUACAAUACCAUAACCGAGAACAUCCUCGGUAACUUUAGGCGAUAGCGUUAGUCUUAAGGGGAAAUUAGCUAAGCCAUACAGACCAAGAGGGUAUCUCUCCAAUUCAAGAUGAACCACCACAGGUAGUAAAGUACAACUAUACUAGGUUCUCAAAACACGGUCCUAAAGGACAAUAGGUGUGAGUUCCGUGAAGUGAAAACGGUGAAGAUGCUACUCCCAAGACUCCCAUGCAUGUCGUCCUCAGGAUUUACCUAAAACAAAUAAGCAACAAGGAUGAGUACAAAGACUCAGCAAGUACAUCCAUGAAUAGUAAGCAUUACAUAUGUCAAGAUACCAAAUCUCUAUUAAGCACCAUACACUCAUCAGCAAUCAACACGUGUAUUCAUGACUUACGUGCCUACAUGCUCAUCUCAUUUCAUUGCGUAUACCGGUAUCGCUCGAGUCGACGCCCGUCGACAUCCACUCACUCCAACUUGUGGAGGUUGCCUCCACAGUAGGUCGCAACCCAACAAUGGAGGUCUCAAUGUGCCUACCCAAGGUAGGGAACUCUUUCUUUCACGAUCAUCAUGUAUGCAAAUAUGCAAAUGCAAGCAAAGAACUUGAAUCAACAUGUCUUUGUCAUCGUCAUCUCCAUCACAAUAAACAUCAUAGACAUGGGCGAAUAUCAAGAUACAAAAGAAGUGCAGAGGAUAUGCAACGUCGUUAUCCUGUCAUGAACUUGCCUCAACCGCGGGGCACAACUUGUGGGUUAAAGGAUCCUGAACCAGAAGUACCAACACCUGUAAACAGGCAUAUAUCACAACCAAUACAAAAACAUGGACUUAACUUCUAAGCAUAUAUAAUUCAGCUUCGCUCCUACGCAUAAGACCCAGUGCAUAUCAAUCAACAUUGAUGAAAUCUGAGAAUAUAUACUUGUUCCUCUACCCAAGUCCAUACAUUAAAAUUCUGUCCAACAUAGUACAGCCCACCUUGAUAACUUCAUAGGUUUUAAUAUACCAAACAAAAUAUAAUAAAUGAUAUGUGUUUAAUCAUCUACAGAACAGCAUCUACAAAUAUCAUGUUAUAACUUUAUUUUAAUUCCACAUUUAACAGGUCCUAAUCUCCCAAAUGAAAAUACUGUACGCAGAAAACUGUAUUUCUGGACAGCAAACCAAAUAGACGGCUGCUCUCAAACCGUACAUCCAAACGAGGCAAUUAAGUACUCCACGGAAACCUUAGAACAUGCUUUACAAAUCAUAUGUAGAGCCCAACUCAAAAUUCUAAGCAUAACUAUCCCGUUUUUCACCUAGAAGCUGGCUAUCCAGAUCUGACAGUUCAGUUCUUGUGUAGUUUAUGUGCAGUAUUAACCGAACCAAGUUCAGUUUACAAGGAGAGAUACCCAACGCUCCAGAUUUUACAUGGAAGCAAUCAACACCUCGCAAAAAUAUAGAUGGGCUAUCAUCCCCAAUUGAUUUGGUUAAUCAAAGGAACUAACAAAGAGAAGGUCCAGCCUGGGUGUCAAUACCAAAUAGCUAAAAGCAUGGAGAUCACCAAUGAAUUUGCAAAUUGGUUCAGGAAUCCCUUUCCAAAUCCCGAAUCUAAUUCUAAACUAUCAACUGCUACCCAAAUCCCUAAUUAUGACCUAGGAGGCACCAUAGAAAAGGAGAACUGGGACGUACUGCUAGCGACAUGACGCCCAGCAGCCACCCCUGCUCAGCAACGACCACGGAGAGGAGAUGCGUCGGGGAGAGCAGCAACCUCGCAGCUCACGGCGGCGGCAACCACCACCAGCAGCAGCGACGGCAGCAGCCUCUGUUGGGAAGACCAGAGGAAGGCUUUGGUGAGGGGUAACAGGAGAGAAACAGGAUUUGGGCGCAGCGUACAGCGGCGCAAGGAGCGACCGAUGGCUACGCCAAGUCUGACUGGGCCUUGAGCCCAUAUAGGAUUUUCUUUCCUCUCGUUUUGGAAGGCUUAAAGAGCUAAAAUCUGCUAUUUAGUCAAAAGCACCACAUAGGCCAACUGGUAUUCAGCCUACUACUGAGAGGUCCAAGGUUCAAAUGCCAACACGCCUCUUCCAUUUAUUUCCCAUAGUCUCUCUCUCUCUCUCUNNNNNNNNNNNNNNNNNNNNNNNNNNNNNNNNNNNNNNNNNNNNNNNNNNNNNNNNNNNNNNNNNNNNNNNNNNNNNNNNNNNNNNNNNNNNNNNNNNNNNNNNNNNNNNNNNNNNNNNNNNNNNNNNNNNNNNNNNNNNNNNNNNNNNNNNNNNNNNNNNNNNNNNNNNNNNNCCUUUUCCUAUUUUAUAUCAUAGUCUACAAAUAUCGACUUUACCUUAUUCAUCUAUAUAUUUAAGCAUAUUGGCACAAUCAAUUAGCAAAAGAAAUCUGGGGCAUUACAGAUAGUUAAUGUGUUCAGUUGGCUAGAAUAGAUGUUUCAGUUGGCCAGGAUACAUUUUUUCAGUUUUGGCCAACAUGCAUGUUUAGUUGGCUAGAAAACAUGUUCUUAUUGCACAUAUACUACAUGUUUUCUAAAGUGUCCACUCACAAAUAUCCAGUGCAUGUGGGGUACAAUGCAUGUUUUAGUCAUGUUUUAAUUGGCCAGAGAACUUGUCUUAGUUGGCUUGUUUAACACAUCCAGGCGGUAGAAGCUUGCUUGGGAUGCAUCAUAUUCAGUAAAGUUGGUCUCAAACCAUGUUUAAUGUGCAACUAGGCAGCUGUGCAACAAAACCUAAAUGACUUGUGUUUAGUUGCACAACCCAGGAAAUAGUAGGCUUCCACCCAUGGUUAGUUGCAUAGUAAUUCGUGGUAGUUGUUUUCAGUUGCAAUAUGUCAUUCAUGGGGGGGAGGGGGUGGAGGGUGGUGUGAUGUGCCAGAUUCACCUCUUUUUUGAAGCAGCUUCUCCAUGGAUUUGUGCUAGAUCCAUGGAGAAGAGGGUUUACAUAUGCCUACAUAUAUGCAGUAGAAGAAAGUGGGAAGUGAAGAGGGGUAGAGGGGCAAAGUGGAUUCAUGGUAGUUGUUUUCAUCUAUAUAUUUAAGCAUAUUGGCAAAAUCAAUUAGCAAAAGAAAUCUGGGGCAUUACAUUAUCACCCCCUUAAGCAGAAUUCGACCUCGAAUUCUUCACCACAUUACUACUCAGAAAGCGGGCAUAACUGAUAACUAAGAAAUGGAAUGAAAACCAGACACCACGUACCGGUCUCGAACAAUUCCGGAUACUUUUCCCGCAUGCGUGACUCAAGCUCCCAAGUCGCCUCACGCUCGGAUUGUUGCGACCAGAGAACCUUCACAUACUUGAGCGUCUUAUUCCUCAACACUCUCUCAGACUUCUUCCAAUAUCCUCACAGGGCGAACCUCAAAGGUAAGAUCUUGCUCAAUUGUAAUUGGCUCCACAGUCAAUUGUCGUUCGGGAUCUCGGAAGUACUUACGUAGCAUGGAUACAUGGAAUACGUUAUGCACACCUUUCAUUGACUCAGGCAACUCAAGACGAUAGGCUAGUUUCCCUACUCGUGCCACUAUUAAGAAGGGUCCAAUGUACCGUGGGCUAAGCUUUCCUUUGAUAUUGAACCUGAUAACACCCUUGGUUGGUGAGACUCUCAGAAGUACCUCUUCUCCUUCCUGAAACUCCACAUUGCGCCUCUUGGGGUCGGCAUAGCUCUUUUGCCUACUCUGGGCUGCUAGCAUAUGGUGUCUAAUUUCAGCUAUUCUGUCUGUAGUUCGUUGAACCCAAUCUGGUCCCAGCACUGCCUUCUCGCCCACUGCAUUCCAACAUACUAGAGACCUACACUUUCUUCCAUACAAGGCCUCAUAAGGUGCCAUUCGAAUGCUAGCUUGAUAACUAUUAUUGUAAGCAAACUCCACAAGUGGUAGAUGAUCCUCCCAGCUCCCUUGCCACAAUAGGAUACAACAUCGCAACAUAUCUUCUAAAGUUUGGAUGGUACGCUCUGACUGACCAUCUGUUUGGGGAUGAAAUGCCGUGCUAAUCCUCAACUGUGUACCCAUUGCACUCUGCCAGCUCUCCCAGAACCUUGAUACAAACUUGGCAUCUCUGUCAGAAGUAAUAGUUUUUGGAACUCCGUGCAAUCUUACUAUCUCACGCACAUAUACCGGUGCCAAGUCACUUGCUGAGUUUGUGGUACGGAUAGGAAUAAAAUGAGCCACUUUGGUAAGUCGGUCCACCACCACCCAAAUUGCAUCCUUUCCCCUUCGGGUGCGAGGUAGGCCAACAACAAAAUCCAUGGCGACAUCAUCCCAUGGCCACUCUGGAACCUCUAAGGACUGCAACAAACCCGCGGGUCUCUUAUGCUCAGCCUUCACGAGCUGACAGACCCCACAAGAAGCCACAUACUUUGCCACGUCAACUUUCAUCCUUUUCCACCAAUAAGUCUUCAAGUCUUGGUACAUCUUUGUCUCUCCAGGAUGAACUGUGUAUGGGGUACGAUGUGCUUCUCUCAGAAUAUCCUCCUUAACAUGGGACUUUUGUGGCACACAAAGGCGGCCGUGAAACCGAACCGAUCCAGUCCCAUCUAGAGUGAAAUCUCCGGUUUUACCUUCUUGGAUGCGCUCCCGCACCUGCAACAACAACCGGUCAUUCUGUUGUGCUUCCCUCACUCUGUCUGGGAUAGCUGAUUGAAGGAUGAAUUGUGUCUCCUCAUGUGCUACACCGGCAAAACAAUAUGAGAUGCUCAUCCGCUCAAAAUCAGCAAUGUGGCAACCUAAAGUGGGAGGGACAAUCUUGCGGCUAAGAGCAUCCGCAACCACAUUUGCUUUGCCAGGGUGGUACUGGAUUGAGAGGUCAUAGUCCUUUAUCAAUUCUAACCAUCGUCUUUGCCGUAAGUUUAGCUCCUUUUGAGUGAAGAUAUAUUUGAGACUCUUAUGAUCAGUAAAAAUAUCACAAGAUUCUCCGUAAAGAUAAGGCCUCCAUAUCUUGAGUGCAAAGACCACAGCUGCAAGCUCUAGAUCAUGUGUAGGGUAGUUCUGCUCAUGCUUUUUCAGUUGCCUAGAAGCAUAGGAAAUUACCUUGCCAUCUUGCAUGAGAACGCACCCAAGACCAAUCCAAGAAGCAUCAGAGUACACUGUGAAGCGUUUCCCAGGUUCAGGUUGAGUGAGAACAGGCGCGGUUACCAAUCUAUUCUUUAGCAUUGAGAAACUAUUCUCACAUUCAGCAUCCCACCAAAAUUUCACAUCCUUUUGUGUUAGCUUGGUCCUUGGCUUGGCGAUAAUAGAGAAAUCUUUCACAAACCUCCGAUAGUAACCAGCUAAACCCAAGAAACUUCUUACUUCUUUGACAUUAGAUGGUCUUGGCCACUCUACAACUGUAGAAACUUUACUAGGAUCAACUGAGAUUCCUUCUUGGUUGAUAACGUGUCCUAGAAAAGCCACUUCAGAAAGCCAAAAUUCACAUUUCUUUAGCCUUGCAUAAAACUUAUUCUUCCUCAGGGUUUCAAGAACAAGCCUCAAGUGGCGCUCAUGAUCUUCCUCUGUCUUUGAAUAGAUAAGAAUGUCGUCGAUGAAAACAACCACAAAGUCAUCAAGGAACAUAUGCAGCAUGCUGUUCAUCAUCUCCAUGAAGAUGGCAGGGGCAUUUGUUAGUCCAAAGGACAUAACUUUGAAUUCAUAGUGCCCAUACCUAGUGGAGAAAGCAGUCUUUUCAAUAUCUUGUUCACGCACACGAAUUUGAUUAUAGCCAGACUGCAGAUCAAUCUUGGAGAACACCUUAGCUCUCUUUAGUUGAUCAAACAAAUCUUGAAUGCAAGGUAAAGGAUACUUAUUCUUGAUGGUCACGGCAUUAAGGGCACGAUAGUCCACACACAUACGCCAACUACCAUCCUUCUUAAGUAUGAACAACACAGGUGCUCCCCAGGGUGACACACUACGCCGAAUCAACCCUUUGGAUAACAUAUCAUCCAACUGUUUCUUUAAUUCUUCUCGAAGUGGGCGUGCCAAUCGAUAUGGGGACAUGGAGAUAGGUCGGGUGCCAGGAAUAACAUCAAUGCGGAAGUCAACAUCCCUCUCAGGUGGCAUACAGGCAACUCAUCAGGGAAAACAUCUACAUAAUCACAUACCACUGGGAUAGCUUCAACUGAUAACACAACAUUUGGGGUCUCGGCAAGGGCCCAUAGUAAGCCGGUCUUGACCGCUCGUUGGCCAGGGAACAAGCUAGCUAGGACAAGUAGAGAGUGUAGAGGAGCAUCUCCCUGAAAAAUCAACUCCUCGCCAGAUGGGGCCUGAAGUGAGAUGGUCCUCCAAAAGCAUGAUAUCACGGCAUGAUAUCGAUGUAGCCAAUCCAUGCCAAGAAUGACAUCGAAAGGCUUUAGUGGAAUAACCAUAAGAUUGGCUAUAAAAUCCUCAUCAUCUAUAGAUAUCGCACACCCGGGACAAACUACGGAUGAAGAGAUUGGACCACCUGGAGAACUAACAACCACUGACUGAGAAAUUUGUUGCCUAGAUAAGUUGGCCUUAUUUGCAAAUUCCGACGAUACAAACGAAUAAGUAGCUCCAGAAUCAAAAAGGACAAGUGCAUCAUGUGAGUCAACUGGAAGUAUACCUGUCAUGACAUCCGAUCGUCCCAAAGAAGCACUAGUGGGCAUGACAUAAACUCCAGGCUGUGGUGGAACAGAGGAAGACCCAACACCCUGUUGUGACGGUGCAGGUAGCUGAAGUGGAACUGUCGAUGCAGGAAAAUGGGAUGAAGCCAUCGGAACAGCCUGCCAAACGUAGCCCGGAGGUGGCACGCCAGCUGGUGGAAGUUGGGGAGUAGUAGUGUCAGCUGCUAACACAUGCAUAGAUCCCCGAGAUGAUGCAGGAGUAGUGCCAACAGGCGUCGGCUCCCACUUGAUAAUGCUGGCGGGGUUUUGACGACAUACCAGUCCCUUAUGACCCUCACGAUUGCAAUGGUGGCAUUUCCCAGUCCAGGAACACUUAGAAGCACAGAAGCACAGUGCCCUUCACCACACUUGAAACAAAUCAUGCCUUGCCCUGGCACCGGGCGAAAAGAUGGAGCUGAUGAAGAAGAACGGGGCACCGAAGAAUACUGAGACCUUGACUGCUUGAACUUUGUUGUUUGUUGCGGACGGUAAUUUCCUUUGGACUUCGUGAAAGGAGGUCGAGGAGUAGACCCACUUCCACCGCGGUAACUCACCUUUGAGUCACCACCUGUGCCCCCAGAACCUCCAGCACGAUUCUCCUGGGCUUCUGUGAGGCGGACCUCCAACUCCAUCCCUCUAGCCUGCCUAACCAUUGUUAGGUAAUCUGUAGGGGGGUUUGCUCCCAUCACUUCUCUGUACUUUGAAUUCAGCCCUCUAAAGAAUGCCUUAGCCUUCUCCGCCUCAUUACACUUCACCCGAUCCACAAAGAGUACCAUCUUACUAAAUUCUGCCUCAUACUCAUCCACAGUCAACUUCCCUUGCUUAAGGUAGUUCAACUUCACCGACAUUUCCUCCUUGAAUGAGUCUGGAUAAUACUUUGCGGUGAAUUGUUGCACAAAAAACUCCCAGGUGGGUUGCCCAUAGAUAGGAAUAUGAGCAGCACGGACUCCUGUCCACCAAUCAUCAGCAAGAUUCUUAAGGUUGAAGCGCACAAAUUGGGCUCUCUUUUGCGAAGUCAACUCCAUAGCAUCCAUAUAUUUCUCCAUGGUAUUCAACCAUGACGCUGCAUCCAUUGGCGUCCCAGUUCCAUCAAAGCAAUCAACUUUCAAACCUAUCCAGUCUUUUAAGAUCAUCCCUGGAUCAUUGUGCCCACCACUGUUAGCAGAUUCUCUUGCAAGUUCUUCUCCAUGAUGGCUAUGCUCACUUUCCGCAUGAGGUUCCUCUUCCUGAUUGUUGCGUCCUCCACGACUACGACCACGAGGACCACGACCACGACCUCUACCCCUUGGCAUAGCUAUAAGUAACAUAAUUUAUCAUCAACCAAAAGUCAUUAUUAUAUGCAAACAAGUAUGUCAACAUGAAGAGAAAACAUAAACUUAAGCGUAAUGCAAUGCAUGACCCGACCCAUCCUAUUGUGCAUCAGUGUGUCAAUUUGGUGUUCAUCCAAUAGUCAGAAUCUCAAUCAAUCCUAAAUUCAAAACUAAGUUAGGCUCUUAUCCCAAAUAGAUACACCAGGACCCCUAAAGCCCGUUCUGAUACCAACUGUAACACCCCAACCGACACAGCGCUUGGAAUAUUACCACAUAACACCUUCGAAAUGAAAACAUGCCCUCAAAAGAAUUUCGGCAGAGUUUCCUCUAUUUCUAAGGACAUCCACGACAUGCAAUUCAUAUAGUAUAUAUAUCGCAAAGAACUAGCACCGGUGUAAAGCACAAGGCUACAAUACCAUAACCGAGAACAUCCUCGGUAACUUUAGGCGAUAGCGUUAGUCUUAAGGGGAAAUUAGCUAAGCCAUACAGACCAAGAGGGUAUCUCUCCAAUUCAAGAUGAACCACCACAGGUAGUAAAGUACAACUAUACUAGGUUCUCAAAACACGGUCCUAAAGGACAAUAGGUGUGAGUUCCGUGAAGUGAAAACGGUGAAGAUGCUACUCCCAAGACUUCCAUGCAUGUCGUCCUCAGGAUUUACCUAAAACAAAUAAGCAACAAGGAUGAGUACAAAGACUCAGCAAGUACAUACAUGAAUAAUAAGCAUUACACAUGUCAAGAUACCAAAUCUCUAUUAAGCACCAUACACUCAUCAGCAAUCAACACUUGUAUUCAUGCCCUACGUGCCUACAUGCUCAUCUCAUUUCAUUGCGUAUACCGGUAUCGCUUGAGUCGACGCCCGUCGACAUCCACUCACUCCAACUUGUGGAGGUUGCCUCCACAGUAGGUCGCAACCCAACAAUGGAGGUCUCAAUGUGCCUACCCAAGGUAGGGAACUCUUUCUUUCACGAUCAUCAUGUAUGCAAAUAUGCAAAUGCAAGCAAAGAACUUGAAUCAACAUGUCUUUGUCAUCGUCAUCUCCAUCACAAUAAACAUCAUAGACAUGGGCGAAUAUUAAGAUACAAAAGAAGUGCAGAGGAUAUGCAACGUCGUUAUCCUGUCAUGAACUUGCCUCAACCGCGGGGCACAACUUGUGGGUUAAAGGAUCCUGAACCAGAAGUACCAACACCUGUAAGCAGGCAUAUAUCACAACCAAUACAAAAACAUGGACUUAACUUCUAAGCAUAUAUAAUUCAGCUUCGCUCCUACGCAUAAGACCCCAGUGCAUAUCAAUCAACAUUGAUGAAAUCUGAGAAUAUAUACUUGUUCCUCUACCCAAGUCCAUACAUUAAAAUUCUGUCCAACAUAGACAGCCCACCUUGAUAACUUCAUAGGUUUUAAUAUACCAAACAAAAUAUAAUAAAUGAUAUGUGUUUAAUCAUCUACAGAACAGCAUCUACAAAUAUCAUGUUAUAACUUUAUUUUAAUUCCACAUUUAACAGGUCCUAAUCUCCCAAAUGAAAAUACUGUACGCAGAAAACUGUAUUUCUGGACAGCAAACCAAAUAGACGGCUGCUCUCAAACCGUACAUCCAAACGAGGCAAUUAAGUACUCCACGGAAACCUUAGAACAUGCUUUACAAAUCAUAUGUAGAGCCCAACUCAAAAUUCUAAGCAUAACUAUCCCGUUUUUCACCUAGAAGCUGGCUGUCCAGAUCUGACAGUUCAGUUCUUGUGUAGUUUAUGUGCAGUAUUAACCGAACCAAGUUCAGUUUACAAGGAGAGAUACCCAACGCUCCAGAUUUUACAUGGAAGCAAUCAACACCUCGCAAAAAUAUAGAUGGACUAUCAUCCCCAAUUGAUUUGGUUAAUCAAAGGAACUAACAAAGAGAAGGUCCAGCCUGGGUGUCAAUACCAAAUAGCUAAAAGCAUGGAGAUCACCAAUGAAUUUGCAAAUUGGUUCAGGAAUCCCUUUCCAAAUCCCGAAUCUAAUUCUAAACUAUCAACUGCUACCCAAAUCCCUAAUUAUGACCUAGGAGGCACCAUAGAAAAGGAGAACUGGGACGUACUGCUAGCGACACGACGCCCAGCAGCCACCCCUGCUCGGCAACGACCACGGAGAGGAGAUGCGUCGGGGAGAGCAGCAACCUCGCGGCUCACGGCGGCGGCAACCACCACCAGCAGCAGCGACGGCAGCAAC